rnacentral:rRNA from 1 species
GAUGAACGCUGGCGGCGUGCCUAAUACAUGCAAGUCGAGCGAAUGGAUUAAGAGCUUGCUCUUAUGAGGUUAGCGGCGGACGGGUGAGUAACACGUGGGUAACCUGCCCAUAAGACUGGGAUAACUCCGGGAACCGGGGCUAAUACCGGAUAACAUUUUGAACCGCAUGGUUCGAAAUUGAAAGGCGGCUUCGGCUGUCACUUAUGGAUGGACCCGCGUCGCAUUAGCUAGUUGGUGAGGUAACGGCUCACCAAGGCAACGAUGCGUAGCCGACCUGAGAGGGUGAUCGGCCACACUGGGACUGAGACACGGCCCAGACUCCUACGGGAGGCAGCAGUAGGGAAUCUUCCGCAAUGGACGAAAGUCUGACGGAGCAACGCCGCGUGAGUGAUGAAGGCUUUCGGGUCGUAAAACUCUGUUGUUAGGGAAGAACAAGUGCUAGUUGAAUAAGCUGGCACCUUGACGGUACCUAACCAGAAAGCCACGGCUAACUACGCGCCAGCCGCCGCGGUAA